rnacentral:rRNA from 1 species
UACGUAGGUGGCAAGCGUUGUCCGGAUUUACUGGGCGUAAAGGGCGCGUAGGCGGCCGAUCAAGUCGGAGGUGAAAUCCCUCGGCUCAACUGAGGAAUUGCCUCCGAUACUGUUCGGCUUGAGUCCUGGAGAGGGUAGUGGAAUUCCCAGUGUAGCGGUGAAAUGCGUAGAGACUGGGAAGAACACCAGUGGCGAAGGCGGCUACCUGGACAGGUACUGACGCUGAAGCGCGAAAGCUAGGGGAGCAAACAGG